GCAUUAAUGGGGUAGUGGUAACCUGGGUCGUUGCCAUUGAACUUUCGAGUUCGACCCGCCGGGGGUUCGAUUCCCUCUUAAUGCA